UACGGGGGGCGCAAGCGUUGUUCGGAUUUACUGGGCGUAAAGGGCGCGUAGGCGGCCACCGCAAGUCGACUGUGAAAUCUCCGGGCUUAACCCGGAAAGGUCAGCCGAUACUGCGGGGCUAGAGUGCAGAAGGGGCAACUGGAAUUCUCGGUGUAGCGGUGAAAUGCGUAGAUAUCGAGAGGAACACCUGCGGCGAAGGCGGGUUGCUGGGCUGACACUGACGCUGAGGCGCGAAAGCUAGGGGAGCGAACGGG
rnacentral:rRNA from 1 species